GCCAAAUAUCUAGCCCCAACAUGCCUCUGGCCCCCAAUUCAUUAUACCCAUCAACUAAAACAUUCAUCAAACUUAGUAGAGGUGAUCGAAAAAUUAAUCGGCGCAAUAUACUUAGUACCGCAAGGGAAAGACGAAAUAAAAGUGAAAACUUCAAGCAAUAUAAAGCAGAGACACUACCUCGUACCUUUUGCAUCAUGGUCUAACUAGUCCAAUCAAGCAAAAAGACUUAAAGUUUGACUCCCCGAAACUAAGCGAGCUACUUCAAGGCAGCCUAACGGGCAAAUCCGUCUCUGUUGCAAAAGAGUGGAAAGACCUUCAAGUAGUAGUGACAAGCCUAUCGAGCUUAGUGAUAGCUGGUUACUCAAGAAACGGACUUUAGUCCAACCUAAAGUUAAUCUAAUAUGACAAAAUUCUUUCUAUAACUUUAGAGCAAUUCAAAUAAGGUACAGCCUAUUUGAAACAGGAUACAACCUCAACUAACGGGUUCUACACCUAUUUACCCCAUCUAAGUGGGCCUAAAAGCAGCCACCUCUCAAAAAGCGUCAAAGCUUAAUUCUCUCUCACCCUAAUCCCAAAAUCCUCCUCCAACCCUUUUACAGUAAUGAGUAAUUCUAUACCCCUAUAGAAGUUUUUAUGUUAGAACUAGUAACAAGAAGACGACCCUUCUCUUAAAUGCAAGCGUAAACCAGAAAGGACACACCACUGGGAAUUAACACUCAUGAGCUACCAAUAGCAACACUAUGAAAAACCCCUAUUUAUCGAUAUGUUAACCUAACACAAGAGCAUUAAAAGAAAGAUUAAAAGGAAAAGAAGGAACUCGGCAAACAUUAACCUCGCCUGUUUACCAAAAACAUCGCCUCUCGAAUAAGUAUGAGAGGUCCAGCCUGCCCAGUGACUCUGUUCAACGGCCGCGGUAUCCUAACCGUGCAAAGGUAGCGUAAUCACUUGUCCUUUAAAUGGGGACUAGUAUGAACGGCACCACGAAGGUUACACUGUCUCCUUUUCCUAAUCAGUGAAACUGAUCUCCCCGUGAAGAAGCGGGGAUACACAUAUUAGACGAGAAGACCCUAUGGAGCUUUAAACGAAGCAACAGCCGCCACCCCAUCCAAAUUCCAGAACAUCCACCCCAUAUUCUGGCGGCAUGAUUGCUAGUUUUAGGUUGGGGUGACCGCGGAGAAUAAACCAACCUCCGCAUUGGAAAGGACCUCCUCAAGCAAAAAACCACAACUUUAUGYAUCAACAAAUUGACACCAAUUGACCCAAUAUUUUGAUCAAUGAACCAAGUUACCCUAGGGAUAACAGCGCAAUCCAUUUUGAGAGCCCAUAUCGACAAAUGGGUUUACGACCUCGAUGUUGGAUCAGGGUGCCCCAGUGGCGCAGCCGCUACUAAAGGUUCGUUUGUUCAACGACUAAGACCCUACGU
rnacentral:rRNA from 1 species